CGCCUGGGGAGUACGGCCGCAAGGUUAAAACUCAAAUGAAUUGACGGGGGCCCGCACAAGCGGUGGAGCAUGUGGUUUAAUUCGACGCAACGCGAAGAACCUUACCUGGCCUUGACAUGCAGAGAACUUUCCAGAGAUGGAUUGGUGCCUUCGGGAACUCUGACACAGGUGCUGCAUGGCCGUCGUCAGCUCGUGUCGUGAGAUGUUGGGUUAAGUCCCGUAACGAGCGCAACCCCUAUCCCUAGUUGCUAGCAGUUCGGCUGAGAACUCUAGGGAGACUGCCGGUGACAAACCGGAGGAAGGUGGGGAUGACGUCAGGUCAUCAUGGCCCUUACGGCCAGGGCUACACACGUGCUACAAUGGCGCGCACAGAGGGCUGCAAACCCGCGAGGGGGAGCCAAUCUCACAAAACGCGUCGUAGUCCGGAUCGCAGUCUGCAACUCGACUGCGUGAAGUCGGAAUCGCUAGUAAUCGUGAAUCAGAAUGUCACGGUGAAUACGUUCCCGGGCCUUGUACACACCGCCCGUCACACCAUGGGUGUGGAUUGCACCAGAAGUGGUUAGUCUAACCUUCGGGAGGACGAUCACCACGGUGUGGUUCAUGACUGGGGUGAAGUCGUAACAAGGUAACCGUA
rnacentral:rRNA from 1 species